UACGUAGGUGGCAAGCGUUAUCCGGAAUUAUUGGGCGUAAAGCGCGCGCAGGUGGUUUCUUAAGUCUGAUGUGAAAGCCCACGGCUCAACCGUGGAGGGUCAUUGGAAACUGGGAGACUUGAGUGCAGAAGAGGAAAGUGGAAUUCCAUGUGUAGCGGUGAAAUGCGUAGAUAUCGGGAGGAACAUCAGUGGCGAAGGCGGCUGCCUGGCCCAAUACUGACACUCAGGUGCGACAGCGUGGGGAGCAAACAGG
rnacentral:rRNA from 1 species